UACGGAGGGAGCUAGCGUUAUUCGGAAUUACUGGGCGUAAAGCGCACGUAGGCGGCUUUGUAAGUUAGAGGUGAAAGCCUGGAGCUCAACUCCAGAAUUGCCUUUAAGACUGCAUCGCUUGAAUCCAGGAGAGGUGAGUGGAAUUCCGAGUGUAGAGGUGAAAUUCGUAGAUAUUCGGAAGAACACCAGUGGCGAAGGCGGCUCUCUGGGACGGUACUGACGCUGAGACGCGAAAGCGUGGGGAGCGAACAGG
rnacentral:rRNA from 1 species